UUUGCAAAACUGUUUCUGCAACAGAGAGGUUGAACUUGAAAUAUGUGUUGCAGUUUUAAGAAAUGUCCAUACAUGUGCUAGCUCUGUUGUCAAUUUGUAAUAGAGUUAUUUUGGCUGAUCUUCAAAAUGGUCACUACAUGAAAAACGGUGUAAGGAGCAAUGUGCUACCGACUUCCGAUCUACAUGUUUUGGAAGAGGAAUUGUCUCUCAUAAGAUGUACAAGUCAUUGCCGAGAAGAAUGUGCAUGCCAAACUUACUUUUACAAAUCUGAAGACAAAUGGUGUUCCCUUUAUAAGUACCCAUUGCUGGAAAACACAUCUGUCUCUCAUAAUAAUGGAGUUGCAGUAUAUGAAAUGAUAGGUAUGCUUUUAAACCCUAUUAUUAAACGAUAUUUAGCAUUAAAUUUUGCCUUUUAUUGAAAUUUUCAUAUAAAAAAAGUUCAUGUUUACUAGAACUAUCAAAUAAUUCUAAUUUUUGUUUCCAAUCUUGAAUAUUUAAUUAUAAAAAGUUAUUUCCAUGCUAAAUAUUUCACGGCUUUAUGAUUUCCAAAAUGUUCAUUAUUUUAGAUAGAAACAUGGAUACAGUUGUGUUGAAAAAGCAUAACCGUAUAUAUUUGUUGAUAAAAUUGCGAGUUGUUUUUCAAUACUUAAUUGCUAUUAAAUAUUAUCCACAUUUGUAUUACUUUGUUGGUAUCUACAAAUACAGUAAACUUAAGUUUACCUACUUUUAGGGUGUCCGAACUCUGACUUCGUAUACUUCGGAGAGGCUGGUGUAUGUCUGAAGAUUUUUACAUCUACAACAAAUUUAUAUACGGACGCAUCUGCAGUUUGUCAGCAAGAGGUUGGACCCAAUGCGGGAACACCUGUAGCUAUUGGACUUCACAGCACAUCCUCAAUUUGGACAUGGAGCAAUGGUGAACCAGUAUCUUUCAAUCAUACCUAUGUCAAGACCCUAAUUAAUGAUUACGACUCAGAAGUUCAUCCAUGCUUUGAUAACUACUGUGGUGUUUUACGGGUUUAUUCUACUGUAGAUAUCCGGAUCUUUGACAGAUGCUGCAUUAAUAUUCCUAACUUACUUGUAUGUUCAAUGUUUUCUCUUUUGUAAGAAAAUCAAAAAAUGAUGUACAUUGUUUUGCAUAAAAUAUGUUCAUACCGAUGAUAAAAUUCAUACUCCAAAAUCAAAAUAUAACAUGUUUCUUAAAAUUUGAUACUUUGUCUAAUAAACAUGUAGUCAAAUGACUUAAUGAGUAAAGAGAAUGGGAUAUUGAUAGUAGAUAUGCUUUUUAAAUGUAUGGAUUUUUGUCUGGAAUAAAAAUCUUUAAAACCAU
rnacentral:misc_RNA from 1 species